ACCAGCCUGCAAACAGGAACAGAGUCUUCAUGAAGCAAUGAGUGUCUGGAUGAAUCUGGACCCUGCCUGACUCUGAGGAGGAUGUACCCCAGCUUGUGCAUGACGUGAUGGAAGCCUUCAGUGUGAAGGAGCAGAGAGGGAAGCAAACAAACACAAAAUCCAGCACAGUGUGCAGUGGGCUGUGGCGGAACAUUCUGCUUAAAACACAUGGCACCAGGGAGAGAAAGAAGACUGAGAAGAGACGUUCCACAUAAAUAUCUGCAAGUAGAGUCCUUUCCUAAGACCCGUGUUCUUCAUGCACAGCAUAAAAUUAAGCACCUGCAGUUCCCUACUCAGGAGUCAGAUGUGGUAGCACCAUGGCCUGCCUCUCAUACAAUUAAGCACAGUAGGCUUAAACUUAAUUGCAUAAAGGUCAAAGUCACAAAGCUGGAUUUCUCAUUGAAUGCCAGGCAUCUGCUAGAAAAGACAGAUACGUACUGAGAAAAAUGGGAGAGCAGGCUUUGAAACAAAGGCAGGGCUGCAGAACAGACAGGGGCUGUUGAACCUUCUCUGUGUCCCUCUUACAGUGGCAGCUGGCCAGAUACCUUUUGUGUUUCUUGUCACAGCCUACAAAUUUACCUGGGGUUCCUUUUGAAACUCCUACACCCACGGCCUUUGGGGGAAAGUCCUUCAAGCCUUUGUAAAGAACAGGUUUGUGAGGAUGGUUGUUUUUGUUCGUUCCCUCACACACUCAGUUCAACCAGAUGAGUUCUGAUCCAUGAAAGAAAACCCACAGGGUAAAAAAAUAUCAUCAUGAAUGCUGUGCAUCAAAAUCUUACAAAGCUGGACACAUGUUCACAACUUAACUAAUUUAAAAAAUCUAACCAAAGCAAUUCUCUUAGCCCACUAAGAGGGUUCUAAAAUUCAGAUUUUGUGACAUGUUAUAUAAUUAAGCCAAUUAUUUCUUGAAUUAUCUGUUUCCUCGAUGAUAUGAGACCCGUAUCAUCACCUGCCCUCCUGUUGAAGUGGGGCUGGUGAUGACGAUCACAGAAGAUCAUGUGCUUUGAGGGGCACUAUGCAGUGUAAGAGAUCAUUCCUGGAUGUGGAUUCCAGAUUCAACGAGGGGAAAAAUUCUACAACCUAUGAUAAAUACAUUUUUUGCACAUAAAUUACCAUCUAUUGUGGAUUAUUUUUUUUAGAGGAUGAAGUACAAGAGCAUGUCAGACAUACUACGUACAAUUUUAUUCCACUUACUUCCUGUUGCUAAUUAAAUCAUUAACAGAAGCAGGAAGGCCGCAGACUCCCUGGCAAACAAUGCGCCUUUAUGAGGAGGCCCAGGAAUUGGUCAUCUGGAUGGCUGACAGGACCAGCCACAUUCACAAGGCUUCUACUUCUUUCAGUGAGGGAGAAAUUUUGAGAAGGAUCUUUGAUUAUGGUUUAAGGUGAUUAUAUCCUACAGCUCAACACAAUGGGUAAAGAAAAUGUGCGUUUGUCACUGAGCGUGUACUGAUGUCUCACGGCUGCAUACACGGAGCCCAAAUGCCAUUCACAUUCCACUGUAAACCCAGGAAGCCAAGGACACCACUUGCUGCGGCCUCUGGUCUGUGCCAGCUGCAGCUGUGUGUGCUUCCUCUUAAUGAAGGCAGACAAUGGGGGCUCUCUGGCUCCCACAUUCCUCUAGAAAGGCCCAGAGGGAGAAGAAUGACAGCGGUAAAAUAUUCAUCCUUUGUCCUUUUUUUUUUUUCCUUUGUCCUUUUAUAAAAGAUAAGCUUUUGUACUUUUCACAGACUACUGUCUCAUUAACAAUGUGACUUAAGAUUUUGAACGGCAGACAGAGAUAACACCAUCUACAUGUGUUAGAUGUACAUCCUAAGAAAAUUUUAACCACAUCCUUUAUAGCAAUCUUUGAAAAACAAGUGGAACGUAGAGAACACUUGCCUCAGCAGCACAAAAAGGACAGUGAAUAGAAAAAGACUGACAGGGAAGCGAUACUUCCCUACACGUGGUUACUAUUUAUUCUACCUUGCCUUCUAGAAAAGCUAACUAUAUUAAUUAUGGGUCAGUCCCAAAAAUAUGUAUUGGGAACUGGCCACGGACAAAAGUGAGACAAAAGACAAAGCUGGAGUUGAGUGUAGGGAUUAGUAAUAAAACCACACAAAACUGACUGGAGAGAAGGAGAAUCAUUAGGACACUACAGGGUGUCUCAAAAGAGAAGUGAUACAUAGGUUGUCCUCGGGAAUGUGGAAAGAUGCAAUGGACUUUUGCACAGGAAGAACUGGCAGAUGACAGAUUUGUUCAGACCUGGAAGCAUCACAAAUGACACCAGUCUCCAGAUUGGAUCAACUUGAAAUGGUGCCAAUGGUACCACUUUACCACUUACAGAAAUGUGUGUUUAGGGAAAGCAGUGGGUAGCUGACUGGCUCAGGUAGGCUGCAUUUCUGAUGGAAGAGCGAAUAAGGAUGGUUAGAAAUGGAAGGAAAGCUAAGAGAGUACAGAUAACAGGUGAAGAAAAAAUCUCAAAAAGGGAGUCAGGGUGAAUGAGCUGAACAGUCGACAAAAUGAAAUGACACUGGAGGUAAAGAAAGGAAGACUGUUCAAUGGGGCAACUAGGAAGCUACUACUCAUCUUUCGAUGGAACAGCCUUAACAGGGACGCAGAGGAAGAAGUCAUACUGAAGACCCUUAAGGAACAACUUAACAUGGUAGUAGCUGCUCAAACCUAAAAUCCAAAACAUCAUCAAUUCGUCUCUCACAGCCACCCCAACUCAUCCAAUCCGUAAAUUCAUCCUAUUCUCUGCCUCCGAAAUAUCGUGUUUCUAUCUCCCCUCUCAGACCACAGCCCAAGCCACUGCCAGGACUCCCCUUGACUAUUGCAACAGGACCCUAUUUGCUCUCUUCUGCCCCCAUUCCAAUCUUCCGGAAAACUUCCUGCCAUGACUUGAAAGGCUCUACACGCUUGCUUCUCAAAAUACGUGUGGUGAAGAACCAGUCCUCACCCCCCCACCUCAACCUCCUAUCCCAUCCACUGUGAACCAAGUGUUCUUAGAAAUACAACAAAAAUGAGUUACUGUUAAAAUAAUCACAUGCUUUGAUGAUGCAGAAAUGUUGAAAUGCUCUAAGUUCUUAAUUCCUUCUCUCAUGCACAGGAGGUUAUGGUUUGAGGACUGAUGGCCCACGGGCCAUACUGGAAUAGCUCUGCUCUGAAAUGAUCUGGCCUCUGUUGGCCUCUUGACCACCCACUCUCUCCUUGGUUUAUUCUGAUCUAGCCAUUUUCACGAUGUUCAAGCCAAGUUUGACAACAUCAAGCUCGUUUCUCUAGAAGUUUUGCAUUUGUUGUUUCCUUUGCCUAGAACAUUCUGGCCCUGCAUUUUCCCACAGGCUGACUCCCCCUUGUCACUCAGGGUUCAGUUCAAAUGUCACCUCAGAGAAGUCUUCCUGCACCAUCUAUUCUGUUUUUUAUUAUAGAAUUGAAACAAUAUGAUGCCCUAAAUUUACCAUCUGAGUUUCCACAAAUGUUUUUCCUUUUUAGUCUAUGGACCUAAGAAUACAAUUCACGUUUUAAUAAUUUCUCACAUUUAAUAGCAAGUGGCGGGGCGCCUGGGUGGCUCAGUCGGUUAAGCAUCUGACUUCGGCUCAGGUCAUGAUCUCAUGGCUUGUGAGUUCAAGCCCCGCGUCGGGUUCUGUGCUGACAGCUCAGAGCCUGGAGCCUGCUUCGGAUUCUGUGUCUUCCUCUAUCUCUGACCUUCCCCCAUUCAUGCUCUGUCUCUCUGUGUCUCAAAAAUAAAUAAACAUUAAAAAAAAACUGAAAUAGCAAGUGGCUUCCUGGAGUUUCCCUUCCAGGGAAAAAGGGCCAAAUGGCAAGGUAGGGGUGGACUAGUCUGACUGGUGGCAUCUCAGUAGGAAGAUUCAAAUUUGUUACCAGAAGGAACACUAGAUUCAGGAGGGUCAGGGUCUAGUCCCAGCUUUGGCAACAACUCACUUCCUGUAUGACCUCAGGCAAAUCAUAUCACCUUUGUCUCAUUUUACAUAUGGGAGAAAAAAAUGAGGGAGGUGGAGUACCAACCAGUAAUUAGGGCCACCACAUAUUUUACUGUCUAAACAAGACACCUUUGAGAGUCAAAGUGGGUGCUAUUGUUAGUUGUGUCAGAAGAGACAUUAUACUGAUCCUGAAGAAACCAAGAUGUAUGGUCACUUUACUUCAGCUCAGUUUUAUCCUUCUCUAGAAACCCCUAUGGGACCCUUCCUCAUGUUCUAUGGCUGGCUCCAUUUGGCACAUCCCGGAUCCUCAAUGUUUACCCCAUUUCCUUUUGGGAAGCUUUCUUUAUGUAAUCAAAGUUAUUGAUCUGUUCUACAAUUUCACCGUUAUAAUGACUGAAUUGUUGUGUCAAACAGCUGCACCCCUCCUGCUGAUGUUACAUUCUGUAUAUCCCCACAUGAUCUCUGUUGACAACAGUUUUUCAAAGAAGGUAAAUAUUUAGGUAUGAACCACCUCCUUUUUCAAACCAAAGAAUAAGUAGACAAAGGACAUUAGUAACUAGUAUAAAGUACUGCAGAUAUUAAAAGGCCAGAACGGUGGUGAAAACCUGGUUUUCUCAACCAGUUUGCUAAUAGGCCACCUUAAUCACACAUAACAUACAAGAGAAGAAACUUCAAAAACAUAUAUUCACCUAUAAAUUUUGCAAAUCUUAGAAGCAAAGAAAAUAUUCUAUGUAGACCAAAACUCUGAUUGCUCAAAACCAGUUCGGCUCACGGCUGACCUGCACUUUUUCCAACAUGGCAUAUAAUAAUUUGCUAGACUUUUAAACAGUGAAUUGUUUUCUGGGGUUUUUUUGGUUUUUUUUUAAGGAAAGUACAUCCUGGCUGUAACAUUUUCUUUCAAUACAAAUGCUAUUUUAUGCCUUGUAUGCUUAAAGAUGUUUGUUUAUUUACUUUUCAACUGACACCUAAGUUGGUGGUGGAGGGGAGGAGAGUGAAGGAGUCACUCCUGUACCCAAGGAGACCUCUGCCUCUCUGGAAUGUUCUACACAUAGAAGUCAGACCCAUGGCUCAUAUCAUUUAUGGGUGACAUAACUCAAUAUUCUGAGAACAUUUCUGAUUGAGGAAAUGAAUAUACCAUUCAGUCCAUGGCAAGAUCAAAAGGCAAGAAGGUAAACAAAUGCUACAGAAUGUCCCAGAAAAGGAUCUAGCCUUGGUAUAAAAAGAACUGGACGUGUCGGUUUACUUCCUACUUUGCUGGAAUAAUCUCAGAAACAAGGGGUGGAGGUUACAUAAAUUAUGAAAGAGACAGUCAGGAAAAGCUCUCCUGAUACGUUGGCAAGACCUGAAUAUAGAACAAACAAUCCUAAAAAAGAAAAAGAAA